rnacentral:lncRNA from 1 species
UCCAUAUGGACCAGGCUUCUCAUUCUCAUAGUGUGGUGGCUGGGUUCUGAAAGGAAGAAGCCCAAGUCGGGGCACCAGAAGAGAGAAGCAUCUCUAAGCGAGAAGGUGGUAUCAGAAGCGGGAUCCAAAACGGAGCUUCUAGCAAACUCCUGGAGUGCCGAGUGAACACACAAGGUACCAGCAGAACCGACUUGUGUCCACGGAUCUCUCAGAGCGGCUGGGGAUGGUGGAUCCUAAAUGUGUGGAGGAUAGAGAUGUGUUCUGCUCACCUGGUAUCCUGUAUGGUGUCUCUACUGCUGCUUCAUAUAUUGCUGAUUUGAGAAAUUGGAUCAGGUUUGGUAUGAGAUGGUAUGAUGAUGUUGAAAUUCAUAGCAGAGUUAUUAAUCUGUUCCAGCAGCUGAACACACACACACAUAUACUACUUAUACAUGUACUCAUUCAAGAUAGUGCCAUCAAAAGCACAUAACGCGGUCCGUACGGUCAGCUAUGUCCUUCCCAAAUGAACCUUAAAGGUGAAAUCUUCUGAGGCGCCUCAUAAACAUUGUAAAAAUAGCCCUUGUCUGAUUUGUUUGCUUAUUGUUUCUCUUCCUUACUAGUGUGUGAGCACCUCAAGAAUUAGAACUGGUUUGUCUUAUUCUCUGCUGUAGCCAUUGUGCUUGCAUAGUUCUUAG